GACCCCGUAGUGCAGCGGUUAGCACGUCGCCCUUUCAAGGCGAAGAUCGAGGGUUCGAAUCCCUCCGGGGUUACCA
rnacentral:tRNA from 1 species